CAGUCGAACGAGAGACCUUCGGGUCUCUAGUGGCGAACGGGUGAGUAACACCUUAGGAACCUGCCCGCGCACCGGGAAUACGCUCUGGAAACGGAGAACAAAUCCCGAUGUACAGGAAGGAGGCAUCUUCUUUCUGUGAAACAUCCUUUCGGGGAUGGGGCGCGGAUGGACCUGCGGUGCAUUAGUUGGUUGGCGGGGUAAAGGCCCACCAAGACGAUGAUGCAUAGCCGGCCUGAGAGGGCGGACGGCCACAUUGGGACUGAGACACGGCCCAGACUCCUGCGGGAGGCAGCAGUAGGGAAUUUUCGUCAAUGGGCGCAAGCCUGAACGAGCGAUGCCGCGUGAGUGAAGAAGGCCUUCGGGUCGUAAAGCUCUGUUGCGGGGGAAAAAAGGCAGCAUCAGGAAAUGGGUGCUGACUGAUGGUGCCCCGCCAGAAAGUCACGGCUAACUACGUGUCAGCAGCCGCGGUAAUACGUAGGUGGCGAGCGUUAUCCGGAAUGAUUGGGCGUAAAGGGUGCGCAGGCGGUCCUGCAAGUCUGGAGUGAAACGCAUGAGCUCAACUCAUGCAUGGCUUUGGAAACUGGAGGACUGGAGAGCAGGAGAGGGCG
rnacentral:rRNA from 1 species